ACCUCGGAGCCUGUCCGGCUCGGUCCAGCACCGCUGGGUGACGCCCAGGGUCCUCACGAGGCCUGCUCCCCAGGGUCGGGGGGAACCUUACGGGCGGCCGUGGACGGUGCUGGGGUCUGGCCUGGGUCUGGCUGGCCGUGUCCUGUGUGCCCCACGGCCCAGCAGGUCUCAGCAUGGAGAGCUGGGCGCACCGGCCCAGAGCCUGGGGGAUGCGCAGCACCCCUGCCCCGGGCUCUCCUGGCACUGGAUGCCUGGCCCACGGAGGUGGGGGGGCCACAGGCAGGGGCACGCUCCUCCACGCGGCCCACCUCAGAGAGAUGUGCCCCGGGGCCCCAGCUGGACCCGAGUGGCCGGGGUGGAGGUGGCGUCCCGACAGCCCUGGGAGGGUUGGGAGAGGACGGGACAGGACCCUUGGCCUCCCCUCCCACAGGAGGUUCAGGAUUGGGGUGGUCUGCUGGAGGCGGGUCCCAGGAACUUGACUCCUUCGGGAAAGCCCCGGGGUGGCGUCCACCUGGUGAUGCUGCAGGAGCAGGUGCCCAGGACCCAGGGGUCAAGGGCAGCAGCUUCUCUGGGCCAGGCCCGAGUGACAUUAGAUAACUGCCUCUCGCUCUUUGCUGGCAAGAGGGUCCCAGGUCCUCAGUUUCCCCACAGACACUUCCAACACACACCUCCAGAAAUCCCAGGAAGGACUCACGGGCAAGGAGCCGAGAUGUUCUUUCUAAAUGUUUUUAUUAGAGGGUCGGGCUGACAAAGAAAAAGAAACGUCAGGGGUUUUCUGCUGUAAGUUGAAUACGUUUCCAAACCUCACACGGAAUCAAACCGCACCAGAGAAGAGCAGCAGGGCCGGCGGCUUCCCCAACAUCAAGGAGGCCCCAGACCUGGUGCCACGCAGCCGCUGAAGCCAUAGCCUGAUGCCAAGAGGGCAGCUCAGCUGCGGCCCCAACCCGGAGCUCCCAGCAGGGCUUCGCCGUGACACCCACACCCACGUCAGCCACAGCGUCUGCAGCCUUGAUGGCCCGAGGGUCAUGAAGUGACAACCCGGAGCCACCGAUGCACACAGAUGUCAGGUCAAAGACCACGGAACACGCGUCACUCAACAAGAAAAAGCUGGCGGGUCAGUUUUUCCUGUGCUGGCCGCUCCUGGAGCAGUGAGGUCGGUGAACUGCCGACCCAGAGCUGGAAACACCUAGAAUGCCAGAUGCUGAGACCCCCUCGUCCGGCACAUGCUCCGUGACUCCUGGCAUCGAGCGCCCCACGCCUCCUCCAGUCACUGCCACCCCCGUCCUGGAGCAAGGUGACGACGGCUGACCGUCCUGUCUGAGCGUGGAAGCCUGUUUUGCAGUGGGAAACCUGCGCACUGACCUCCAGACGCAGGUGUGACACCUCACGGCCCUGGUGCUGCUUUACAGACGACUGACGCCCCCGCCCUCCCCAAGUCCGGCCAGUGCAGCAGGCGGGUUGGGCCGUUGCUGCCGGAUGCCCUGCCUCCCAUCCCCAAAGCAUCCUACCGCAGCAGUAAGAAAAAUGAUUUUGCCAAUUCUAAGGUCACGUUAAAAAAAUGUUUUUAUAAAAAGAGUACGGUUUACAACAACUGGAAACCAUGACAUCCCACAUUUCUAAGCUGCAGUGCUGGAAUCGUAGGACUUUAAAAAGCUAUUGUGUCGUAGAAAAAUAACUGUGCAGCUCAGUAAAAUGCAUGUUGUUCAGCUUCUCAACU